rnacentral:misc_RNA from 1 species
UUUCCGUAGGUGAACCUGCGGAAGGAUCAUCACAGAGUUCAUGCCCGAAAGGGUAGACCUCCCACCCAUGUGUAUUCUUACUUUGUUGCUUUGGCGAGCUGCCUUCGGGCCUUGUAUGCUCGCCAGAGAAUACCAAAACUCUUUUUAUUAAUGUCGUCUGAGUACUAUAUAAUAGUUAAAACUUUCAACAACGGAUCUCUUGGUUCUG